rnacentral:rRNA from 1 species
GUAGUCCACGCCGUAAACGAUGAAUACUAGGUGUAGGGGUUGUCAUGACCUCUGUGCCGCCGCUAACGCAUUAAGUAUUCCGCCUGGGGAGUACGGUCGCAAGAUUAAAACUCAAAGGAACUGACGGGGGCCCGCACAAGCAGCGGAGCAUGUGGUUUAAUUCGAAGCAACGCGAAGAACCUUACCUAGACUUGACAUCUCCUGCAUUACUCUUAAUCGAGGAAGUCCCUUCGGGGACAGGAUGACAGGUGGUGCAUGGUUGUCGUCAGCUCGUGUCGUGAGAUGUUGGGUUAAGUCCCGCAACGAGCGCAACCUUAUUGUUAGUUGCCAUCAUUAAGUUGGGCACUCUAGCGAGACUGCCCGGGUUAACCGGGAGGAAGGUGGGGAUGACGUCAAGUCAUNAUGCCCCUUAUGUCUAGGGCUACACACGUGCUACAAUGGUCGGUACAAAUGAGACGCAAGCCCCAGCGGAGGGGAGCAAAGCCUGGAAAAUCCGAUCGUCAAGUUCAGAUUCG